AGUAGGGCACUCUAAUGAGACUGCCGGUGACAAACCGGAGGAAGGUGGGGAUGACGUCAAGUCCUCAUGGCCCUUAUAGGUGGGGCUACACACGUCAUACAAUGGAUGGUACAAAGGGUCGCCAACCCGCGAGGGGGAGCCAAUCCCAUAAAGCCAUUCGUAGUCCGGAUCGCAGUCUGCAACUCGGCUGCGUGAAGUCGGAAUCGCUAGUAAUCGUGGAUCAGAAUGUCACGGUGAAUACGUUCCCGGGUCUU
rnacentral:rRNA from 1 species